CCUACGGGAGGCAGCAGUGAGGAAUUUUGCGCAAUGGGGGAAACCCUGACGCAGCAACGCCGCGUGAGUGAUGAAGGCCUUCGGGUCGUAAAGCUCUGUCAGAUGGGAAGAAAAGCUCAAGGGUGAAUAGCCUUUGGGCCUGACGGUACCAUCAGAGGAAGCACCGGCCAACUCCGUACCAGCAGCCGCGGUAAUACGGAGGGUGCAAGCGUUGUUCGGAAUCACUGGGCGUAAAGGGCAUGUAGGCGGUCAAAUAAGACAGGGGUGAAAUCCCUGGGCUCAACCCAGGAAGUGCAUCUGAAACUGUUUGACUUGAGUACGGGAGAGGGAAGUGGAAUUCCUGGUGUAGGGGUGAAAUCCGUAGAUAUCAGGAGGAACACCGGUGGCGAAGGCG
rnacentral:rRNA from 1 species